CAGCAGCCGCGGGAAAACGUAGGGUGCAAGCGUUAAUCGGAAUUACUGGGCGUAAAGCGUGCGCAGGCGGUUCGUUAAGACAGAUGUGAAAUCCCCGGGCUUAACCUGGGAACUGCAUUUGUGACUGGCGGGCUAGAGUAUGGCAGAGGGGGGUAGAAUUCCACGUGUAGCAGUGAAAUGCGUAGAGAUGUGGAGGAAUACCGAUGGCGAAGGCAGCCCCCUGGGCCAGUACUGACGCUCAUGCACGAAAGCGUGGGGAGCAAACAGGAUUAGAUACCCGAGUAGUCCCUGUCUCUUAUAC
rnacentral:rRNA from 1 species